GGGCCCGCACAAGCAGCGGAGCAUGUGGUUUAAUUCGAAGCAACGCGAAGAACCUUACCUAGACUUGACAUCCACUGCAUAACCCAGAGAUGGGCGAAGUCCUUCGGGACAGGGUGACAGGUGGUGCAUGGUUGUCGUCAGCUCGUGUCGUGAGAUGUUGGGUUAAGUCCCGCAACGAGCGCAACCCUUGAUCUUAGUUGCCAGCAUUUAGUUGGGCACUCUAAGGUGACUGCCGGUGAUAAACCGGAGGAAGGUGGGGAUGACGUCAAAUCAUCAUGCCCCUUAUGACCUGGGCUACACACGUGCUACAAUGGACGAUACAAAGGGCUGCAAACCCGCGAGGGGGAGCCAAUCCCAUAAAAUCGUUCUCAGUUCGGAUUGUAGGCUGCAACUCGCCUACAUGAAGCCGGAAUCGCUAGUAAUCGUGGAUCAGCAUGCCACGGUGAAUACGUUCCCGGGCCUUGUACACACCGCCCGUCACACCACGAGAGUUUGUAACACCCGAAGUCGGUGAGGUAACCUUUACAGGAGCCAGCCGCCGAAGGUGGGACAGAUGAUUGGGGUG
rnacentral:rRNA from 1 species